rnacentral:tRNA from 1 species
CGCGAUGCGCCCGAACCGCCCCGGGAAGUCCUUUGCGGGGCGGCCCGUGGGCCGAGUACCGUAGGGGUCGAUUGGUGACAGCACACGGUGC